GCCGAGGUGGUGGAACUGGUAGACACGCUGUCUUGAGGGGGCAGUGGGCAAUGCUCGUGCGGGUUCGAGUCCCGCUCUCGGCA
rnacentral:tRNA from 2 species